UACGAAGGGGGCUAGCGUUGCUCGGAAUCACUGGGCGUAAAGGGUGCGUAGGCGGGUCUUUUAAGUCAGGGGUGAAAUCCUGGAGCUCAACUCCAGAACUGCCUUUGAUACUGAAGAUCUUGAGUUCGGGAGAGGUGAGUGGAACUGCGAGUGUAGAGGUGAAAUUCGUAGAUAUUCGCAAGAACACCAGUGGCGGAAGGCGGCUCACUGGCCCGAUACUGACGCUGAGGCACGAAAGCGUGGGGAGCAAACAGG
rnacentral:rRNA from 1 species